GUUUUGUUUGGGUUUUGUUUUUUUUUUUUGUUUUUCUGUUUGUUUGUUUGUUUGUUUGUUUGUUUUCCAUCUUGAUCUUGCUUCACUAAUCUUUCUUAGCUCAGGUGACCACAUUGUAAAAUUCCAUUUUGUCUUUUUUUUUCAGAUGUUGAAAUGUGAACCAAAUGCUGUUUUUAAUGAGCUAAGCAAUUGUUCAGACUUCUUCCCCUCCCUCCACCGUUUUGAAUUGCUAUAGCAUGUACUACAAAGCUUCAUUUGAAAGCCUGCAAUUUCAGAGUGGUUUUCUUUAGGCAAAAGAGGCUAUCCUGUAUCACAGAGAUAUCACCACAGCUCAAAUUCAGAGCCUUUCGGGGGAGAAACCAGUAUGUGUGGCCGGGAGACUAGGGAUGGAUUUGGAAGGAGGUCCCAUGAGAUCCUCUCAAGGAAAGGGCCACAGGGAGGUGAUACCUGGCGUGGAAGGAGGUGCCCAGUGGUGACCAGGGUCUCCCUCUUGAAACUGGACCUCUAACCAGAAUAUGCAACUACCCAGUGGACACUUCCAGCAAGACAGUUCGCAUCACCUCCAACCUAAUGUGUCUGAAAAUACACACUUUGAAAAUUGAGGUCUCUGCUGCUUCUUCCAUACCUGCUUCCUGAUCAGUCUCCAGAACUUGGUGCUGCUUCCAUCAAGAUACAUUUCGCACCUGCGCCACCUCUCCAUUUCCUUGUCCCCGUCUAGUCCAGCAGCCUGUUCUGCAUGUCUGGGACAGUAUGGCAGUCCUGACCUCCCUGCCUCCAGCUUCCCUUUCAUCCUCUCUGGUCAGCACACCUCCUGCGGGUGAACCUCCCAGAAAAG
rnacentral:lncRNA from 1 species